GGCCCGGUAGCGGAUGGUUCGCGCCCGUGAUUCGUGCCAGUUCACAGGUCGGAAAAUUCUACGGGAAUAGCUUGUUCAAAUCGAGCCCGGGCCA